UCUCCCUUCCACCCUCUCUAAAUAUCAAUGGAAAGUGCUCGCUUCGGCAGCACAUAUACUAAAUAUCAAUGGAAAAAUAUCCUCCGGUGAGAAUGAACAACAACAACAAAAAUACAUAGUUGGAAAAGGGCAGCGUAUUUUAACAGUCUUUUCAGAAAACUGUGGCUGGUUUUCUCUGGCACUGCACCACAACUCAACAUGCGGAGUGUCUCAAGGUGGGCUGCCGUGGAAACCGGAAGCCACCCUGACGUACUACUUCUUCCUGCUGCUUCACUGACCCGCGCUGAUCUCGCUGGCAUUUUGAAUGACUCUCACCCUCUUGUGGUUAUGGAACAUCAUGCGUUUAGUCAUCUGACAAAUAUCGGUCCCUGAGUUACCCAGAUCCUCCAAGCAGUGACUCAUCAUGGUGUCAUCACACGCCACAUGGCUUCUGGAAAAACAGUGUAUGCUUGUGAAAGAAUGACAAUGAAGAAUGCAAAGCAGCCCUGGCCGGUGUGGCUCAGUGGAUAGAGCGUCGGCCUGCAAACUGAAAGGUCCCAGAUAUGGAAGAAGAAACCAAACACGCCGAGAUGAUCAGAGGAUCUGGAGAAGGAGCCUCCUUCACUGAUGUCCUGGAACUCUCCCCUGCCCUGACCUGUAGUGGUUCCACAGGAGGGUGACCGUGUGACCUUGUCUCUCUCUGCCUGGCUCCCUCCACUCAGCACCCUGCUCUCCAGGCCCCUCCAUGCCGUCGCAAGGGUAAGAGCCUUUUUUCACUGCUGCACGGUGUCCACGUGUCCACGCCCCACAGCUCUCUAUCCGCUCCUCUACUGGUGGUCGCUUGGGCUGCUUCCAGAUCCUGGCUAUGAUGGCAGCUCAACACUCCUGUCAGAGCGAUGGGUGAAACAGGUGACCCGACACCGAGAAGGCUGGAGAAGGCUUGAACAAUACUCUCCGAGUGCAGGAGGACAGUGAUGGCACAGAGAGGUCAAGGAACUUACCUGGGGCCACACAGCG